rnacentral:rRNA from 1 species
GACGAACGCUGGCGGCGUGCUUAACACAUGCAAGUCGAACGGAAAGGCCCUGCUUUUGUGGGGUGCUCGAGUGGCGAACGGGUGAGUAACACGUGAGUAACCUGCCCUUGACUUUGGGAUAACUUCAGGAAACUGGGGCUAAUACCGGAUAGGAGCUCCUGCUGCAUGGUGGGGGUUGGAAAGUUUCGGCGGUUGGGGAUGGACUCGCGGCUUAUCAGCUUGUUGGUGGGGUAGUGGCUUACCAAGGCUUUGACGGGUAGCCGGCCUGAGAGGGUGACCGGCCACAUUGGAACUGAGAUACGGCCCAGACUCCUACGGGAGGCAGCAGUGGGGAAUAUUGCACGAUGGGCGGAAGCCUGAUGCAGCAACGCCGCGUGCGGGAUGACGGCCUUCGGGUUGUAAACCGCUUUCGCCUGUGACGAAGCGUGAGUGACGGUAAUGGGUAAAGAAGCACCGGCUAACUACGUG